CCUACGGGAUGCAGCAGUGAGGAAUAUUGGUCAAUGGCCGAGAGGCUGAACCAGCCAAGUCGCGUGAGGGAAGACGGCCCUACGGGUGGUACACCUCUUUUGUCGGGGAGCAAAGCGAACCACGUGUGGUUCAUUGAGAGUACCCGAAGAAAAAGCAUCGGAUAACUCCGUGCCAGCAGCAGCGGUAAUACGGGGGAUGCGCACGUUAUCCGGAUGUAUUGGGUUUAAAGGGUGCGCAGGCGGAGGUGCAAGUCAGCGGUCAAAUUGCGGGGCUCAACCCCGUACUGCCGUUGAAACUGCAUCCCUUGAGUGCGCGAGGAGUAUGCGGAAUGCGUGGUGUAGCGGUGAAAUGCAUAGAUAUCACGCAGAACUCCGAUUGCGAAGGCAGCAUACCGGCGCGCAACUGACGCUCAUGCACGAAAGCGUGGGUAUCGAACAGGAUUAGAUACCCGUGUAGUC
rnacentral:rRNA from 1 species